UUGCUGCUUAUCAGUGGAAUUAUUGGUUGUUAAGAAUAUAAAAGGCGGUCACACCGACCACAAUCACCAACAUAUUCCGAUCAAGACAAAUCUGAACGAAAUGGAUCGAAAGAUUGUUUUUGCUCUUCUUCUCUUGGUGGUUAUUCAAGCUUCUGUGGUGUCCGCCGAUUUGUUAGUCAGACCAAGGCCACUUAUUAGACAUCUAAAUGAUAAUGACCAGCAGUUUGAUCACGAAAUGGGCAGAAACGCGGAACAAGAGAUGGAAGGGGGGCGUGUUAAAGAUUUUAGGUGGCGUUGAAUGGAAUAAGAGUCAAUCACUCAGUGAGAAGGUGAAGUUAUCACUGAGCGAAAGGAAUUGUUGACUCAAUAAACAACAAAAACAAAUUA